UUGGGUUUUAGUCUUUUACUCCCCGUCAUG
rnacentral:rRNA from 1 species